CAGACGCCUCUUACCUCCAUUGCUCACCGCUUCUUCGCCCAUUGUUCACCAUCUCUUCAUCGUCGUGGCUUGCAGCCGGCGUAAGGGCACGUGUUCAACUCUAGGCCUAUAAAACCCUAAGCCGGUAACCGUCGCGAACUCUCACGCGUCGAGUUCUCUCGAUUUUCAUUGGGUUCCAUUGAAGACCGACGCGAAGGUUUUUCACUAGUGUUUGUUUUUCUGGCAUUUUGAGGUCACCUCCACCUUUGCCAGAGCUACACUGAUCAGAACAAGUUUUAAAUGAAGCUGCAAUGCUUGUGUCUUUUUGUGUGAAUAUGUUACUUUCAUCUUGUUAGCUUUUCUACAGAGUAGCUGCAUGCUUAUGGCUUGUGUCUCUUGUUGGUGGCUUUGCUAAUUACCUGACUCAGGGAUACAGCACUUGGUGCUGGUCAGAUUAGCCAUUUUACCACAAGAUAUUCUGAUGUACUUAUAGUCACUUGAGUUAUGGUGGGCUUUUGCAAGAUCGAGUGAAAAACCAGCUUGAGUUAGAACAUUGUAUUGUUUUAUAUUUAUAGUUUUAUUUCACUAAUGACAGAAACUUGAUGUUUUCCUUUUUCCAGCAAAGAGAAAGCUCUAAAGUCUACUAAUUUUUUGUGGUUUUAUUGGAUUUUUGUUGAUCUUUUGGAUAGAAAUUAGUAGUAAUUUGAGGUUGAGUUUCAGAUUCUUGAUGGUUAGUUCUAUGGCUUUUGUUCUGAUUUUCUGUGUUUUUAUUGGAUUUCUGUUGAUCUUUUACUUUUCAAUUCUAAACUGGAAGGUUAAGUGCUUUAUUGAAAAUGAUCUUGUGGACCAGUAAGGCAGUAAAAUAAAUAUGAUACAAGUAGUUUUUUGUCAUCUUCUUCAUAUGGUACAUUGGUUGUUAACUUCACCAUGGUUGGGUAGCUUGUUUACUCUUCUCUUGUUCUAGUUGAAUUUUGUUAAAUAGAUGAACAUAACAUCCAUCUAGGCCACGUUAAAUGUAUCUUUCAUAGGCAUUAAUUUCUCCAAUAAUGUAGUACAUGAGUUAUACAGCAUGUAUCCCCUUACUCUUGACUUAAUAGCUAUGAUAAACACUCAUAUUGAUAUAGGUUUUCUGAUAAUAUAUAACCAACCUUUUCCUUAUAUUGGGAAAGGGGGCUAGGGUGGUGCCAUUACACUUGAUCAGGUGCUUUCCUAAACUCACUUUAUCUCAACCUCGUUUUAAAUAAAUUUUUAGCGUGUCUUUCUCGAAUGUUGAUAGAUAUCUGUUGCAAUUAGAAACAGUUGAAUUAGAAACAGUAAUUUAGCAACGGACUGUUUCUGUUGCAAUUUAAUAACCGAUUAGCAACGGAUUAGACUGUCCGUUACAAUGUUACAAACAAAA